AUGGGUCCUCGCAGCCUCUACUUCGUACCCACACUGGAGGACCCCAACCGUGUCCCGCCCGAGCGCUUCGCCUUGCAGUUCGAGGACGGCGACCAAUUCAUGCCCCUCGGAUCCCGCCAUGGCCUCGUGUUCGUCAUCCACCUGACGUGGAGCCGGGUCCUGGUGUGGGAUCCGGUCACCGCCGACCAGCACCUCAUCGCCCUCCCCCCUGGCUUAAUGGGACAUCUGAACAGGAUCAUGGUCCACGGGGCCGUGCUUCGUGCUGCCGGAGAGGCCCAGCAUUUCCAGGUGGUUUUGAUGGUGGCAGAUGAUGAUUAUGACAUGCAGGACAGGCAAAUGCUGGCCUGCGUUUACUCGUCGAAGACCGGCGUGUGGGGUGAUAUCAUCUCAGCGCCGCUUCCGCCCAAGGUUCCUAUCGGCAGCUGGCCCCUCAUGGUUUCUCCGUCCAAGGAAGCUGUGCUGGUUGAUAAUUCCCUUCACUGGAUGCUUUUUGGGAGCUUAGUUGGAAUUCUCGAGUUUGAUCUGUUGAAGCAGAGCAUAGCCGUGAUACCGACACCAGUGGGUGUGGUUUCCUCCCACGGCAGACAUGAAUUGACGGUUGUACGGGCAAAGGGCGGUGGCCUUGGUUUUCUCAUCGUGAUAGACUUCUGCGCACAAUCAUGGAGGAGAAAGACCGAUUGUCAUGGUGUUGCUUCAUGGGAGCUGGAAAGAACUAUCGAACUGGACAAGCUACUUCCCCUGAAUCCAGAGAUGAGAGCACACUUAUACAUAGUAGGGUUUGCUGAGGAGAAUAAUGUGGUGUUCAUGUGGACAUCAGUUAUCGGUCUCUUCCUGAUUCAUCUUGAGUCAUUGCAGUUCAAGAAAAUUCCCCAUCCCAGCAUGCUUGCCCGUUAUCUUCCAUUUGAAAGUGUCUUUAUUGCAGAAACAUGUGUUGGUGGUGGACAUGAUGGAGCUGUUGCUGGUGGACAGGACCGAGGUGAGCUUUUGCUCAAUACCUCUAUUUGUUAA
rnacentral:rRNA from 1 species